GGGGCCGAUCGGUUUCGACGGUGACCUGUUCGUCGCAGGGAAGCGUGCCGAGAAUGCGGGGUCCGCUCGUGGAUGUCCCCCGCGAAACAAUAAGUGCUAAAUCUAACCGCACUGAGUUCGCUCUCGCUGCCUGAGCUUCGCGCCAGAUCUAAACCAGCGAGCAGCCGCUCCGUCCACUCUCCCGUGUCUCCGGGGAGAAGCUGGGCGUCGUUGAGGAGACUCGCCUCAUACGCCGCACCGCAGGGCGCGUGAGGGACUUGUUCUGCGGAUAUGCCUGCCACCGGUUGUCCGCGACAUAGGUGGAGGCAGAACACUAGCCAUCUUGGCCAGCGGACUACGCACGUAGAAGACUGAGGGUACGGUCAUCGGACCGGGGUUCGAUUCCCCGCGGCUCCACUC
rnacentral:tmRNA from 1 species